CUCCUUCCGGAACGAGCUCUGGCCCGGCUACAAGUCGGACGAGGGCGUCCCGCCGGAGCUCCGGGCGCAGUUCGACGCCGCGGAGGAGGCCA
rnacentral:tRNA from 1 species